rnacentral:rRNA from 1 species
GAUGAACGCUAGCGAUAGGCUUAACACAUGCAAGUCGAGGGGCAGCAUUAUUUUAGCUUGCUAAGAUAGAUGGCGACCGGCGCGCGGGUGCGUAACGCGUAUGCAACCUGCCUGUAAUUAGGGAAUAACCCGGUGAAAGUCGGACUAAUACCCUAUAUUCUUCUUUUUCCGCAUGGAGAAGGACGGAAAGAUUUAUUGAUUACAGAUGGGCAUGCGUCCCAUUAGCUCGUUGGUAAGGUAACGGCUUACCAAGGCAACGAUGGGUAGGGGGACUGAGAGGUUGACCCCCCACACUGGUACUGAGACACGGACCAGACUCCUACGGGAGGCAGCAGUGAGGAAUAUUGGUCAAUGGGCGAGAGCCUGAACCAGCCAAGUCGCGUGAAGGACGACGGUUCUAUGGAUUGUAAACUUCUUUUGUAGAGGAAUAAUGGCAGCUACGUGUAGCUGAGAUGCAUGUACUCUACGAAUAAGUAUCGGCUAACUCCGUGCCAGCAGCCGCGGUAAUACGGAGGAUACGAGCGUUAUCCGGAAUUAUUGGGUUUAAAGGGUGCGUAGGUGGCGUAUUAAGUCAGUGGUGAAAAGCUGCAGCUCAACUGUAGUCUUGCCGUUGAAACUGAUAUGCUAGAGAGGAGACGAGGUAUGCGGAAUGUGUGGUGUAGCGGUGAAAUGCAUAGAUAUCACACAGAACGCCGAUUGCGAAGGCAGCGUACCAGGCUCCGUCUGACACUGAAGCACGAAAGCGUGGGGAUCAAACAGGAUUAGAUACCCUGGUAGUCCACGCAGUAAACGAUGAAUACUAGAUUUUUGCGAUAUAGUGUAAGAGUCUAAGCGAAAGCGAUAAGUAUUCCACCUGGGGAGUACGCCGGCAACGGUGAAACUCAAAGGAAUUGACGGGGGCCCGCACAAGCGGAGGAACAUGUGGUUUAAUUCGAUGAUACGCGAGGAACCUACCCCGGGAUUGAAAUCAGAUGGCGGCAGAUGAGAG